rnacentral:lncRNA from 1 species
CGAAAUUAGCAUGGGGGAAGACAUGGCUAGGGUUUUCAAGCUUUCCAAGCUCAAUAGUAAGUCGUUCUAGCCCCGUUUUUCAAGUUCUUUACGUUUUUAGAAUCCCGGUAACUUGAUUAAGCUUAUGCUAGCAAUAAUUCAACCUAGGGUUCGUAUUUGGAAAAAUACUCGUAGGUGAAAUUUGUGUAUUUUGGUGUUUUAUGAUAGAGCAUGAGGUUUUAAAUUAUGUUAGACAACUUGUGCUACUCGGUUUUAAGCGAAAACGAGUAAAAGGGCUUAAUCGGUAAAAAUACCUAAUAGUCAUAAGUGCAUGUUAGAGUGAGAAUUUGAUGUUGUCAUAGAAGGGAAAAAUGAUCAUCAUGUCAUAAAACAUAAGAAAAAGGGAUGAAGUUUAAUUCCUGAGCCUAGGGGCAAAAGUGUAAUUAUGCAAAAGUUUAGGGGCAAAAUGGUAAUUUUGCCAAAGUUCAUAUUAAAGGCUGUUUUGAUGAAUGUAUGUAUUAAAUAAAUUAAUUUGGUAUUAUAGAUCAAGAGAAACGAGAUUCAAGUCGUGAUCGAGGGAAAAACAAAGUUUACAAGGAAUAGGCCCGAUUGCUAAUAUUUUGUAUCGAGGUAAGUUCGUAUGACAAUAAUAAUGCAAUGUUAUGUUUGAAUUAUAUUUCUUACUGUUAUUGCAUAUAUUGUAUGAUUUAAUAUAUUGGAAAAGUUGAUGGAAUGGUGUUUAUGAUGUGGAAAUAUGACAUGAAAGAAUGUUACAUGAAGUGCAAGAAAAUGAUGAUACAUGACAAGUGAUAUAUGAAAUAUGUGAUUUAUGUUAUGUAAAUUCUUAAAAGCUGAUUUUCUAUUUGAGUUGUGUCUUAUUAUACUAUGAAUGGACAAUUGGUACUAUGGAUAGUGAGAUCGACACUUCGAGUAAGUUCGUAUAUAAAUAAUCUAUCGAUUCUUUUUAUGUUAAUAUAUUUUGAUAUCAUAUGAAAUGUGGCUGCAUAUCAAAUGAUUAUUUGAUGUAAAUUAUGAAUUUAAAUUGAUUACGGACAAUUUAGUAAAAUGUUGAAAAGUGAGGAAUUUCCCGGUUGAACCUUUGGAAUAGAAACGAUACCAAUGAGGUAUUGUGAGGUCACGUGUGUAGUACUAAGUGUAGGCUACUACGUGUACCAGGUAAUUGGUCGCAUGUGUAGUACUAAGUGCAGGCUACUAUGCGUACCAGAUAACUUCGAUCACGUGUGUAGUACUAAGUGCAGGCUACUACGUGUAUCAGAUGGUUAGGUCACGUGUGUAGUACUAAGUGCAGGCUACUACGUGUAUCGGAUAAUUGGUCGCGUGUGUAGUACUAAGUGUAGGCUACUAUGCGUACCAGAUAGCUUCGGCUACAAGUGUGGAAAUGAGAAAAUGUGCAGGCAAUUGUGUAUCUAUUAUUAUACCGAUGAGUUCAACGGGAAAUCGAUUAAGUGAAAAUAAAUGUGAAAGUGAUUAUGUGAUGAACAAGUGCAAGUAUAUGUUAUUUGAAUUUAUGAGCAAUAUGCUCGAUAUUUGAGCGAACCUCGGUAAAAUGGAAGGGAUUAAGUGAAAUUGUGCAAAAGUGAACUUUAGUAGUAAAAUAGUGUUGGACAGCAACAGUGCAUGAAUUUGAAAAUUUACCAAAAAUUGUGUAAGUUGAAUUAAAUUUCAAAUAAAAUAUGUAAUUAAAUUUUAUUAAGUCUAUUUUCACAUAAAAGAAACAGGGGAAGCAAAAGAAUUCCAUAUUAUGUGAUAUUUGAAUUCUUGUGAGACAGUGUCUGAAUGAAUUCGAGAUCCCCUGUUCUGAAUUGGAAAAAUUGUUAAAAAUUAUAGAAAAAUAAUUUUGGGGUAUAAUUUAUGUGCCUAGAAUCUUGGAUGAGUCUACUUUUAAUAAAAACAAACGAUAACAUCAUCCAAGUUUUUUACUAUGAGAUAAAUAAAUUUUAGUGAAAAAAGGUCGAAGCUGUUAAACAGCAAACAGGGGAGAUUUUGAAUAAUAAACUGUACUUAUUGGCUGGACUAAAAAUUCUGAAAAUUUUAUGGAAGAAAUAUAUAUGAGUUUAGUUUUUGGGAAAAUUUACGGAUAUUAAUUUGGAGUUCCCUAACUCUAAAUAUAAAUGAUUUAGUGACUAUUACUCAAGAAAAUAGCCUAACCAGAACAUGUGUAAAUGUACAAAUGAGUUAGUUUUAUUGUGGGAAGCAUGUUAGUAAAUUGCUUAUUAUUAUUUCAUGUGAGCUUACUAAGCAUAAAGCUUACCCCCCUCCUUUCCAUUUCUUUUAGUGUUGUCAGGUUAGCUCAGGGUUGGAGACCGUCGGAGGCAGCAUCACACUAUCAAGCCAACACC